AAACCUCCGGUCGUCAGGCCCCCCGUCCGUAUAAAGAUUCUGCUAUUCUUAUACGAGAAUUUUUAAUAAAUUAAAAACACCCUUCGCCGUUUAAGUGAAUUUAUCAAAUUUACAUGACGGGCAUUUAGCAGACAGAGCGACUCACACAGCAUAUCAUUUGCAUUGAAUACUUUGUAGCCGCUAGAGGUGGGCAGGUAAUUAGAUGACAAGGUAACGUCAUACGCGAAUAUAGCGAGCCGUCAAUUUUGGGGUCCUCACAAUCUUACAACGUUUUGUGCCGGUCCCGUGUUAGGACUGCAGGUUAUUUUGCCUAUCGGGAAGUGCAUGUAUUGUAUGUAAGCUGGAGAAGCCACGGUUGGAGAUGACGUGGCCAGCGUUGACUGACCUUACCGCAUACAGUCAUUGAGAGCCAUCCGGUAAUGUAGAUUGUUUUAUUCAUGCUUUUAUAUUGGUGGCUGGCUUCUCGGUUUGGGUGUGGAUGCUUUCUGUGCAUGUAGCUUGAGCAGUGCCUUUUGUUUUGCUUAUAGGUUUAUUUUGAGUAGGUGGCCGAUGCAUGGAUUGACCGCUGUUCCUUCCUUUCGUUUUAUGUACUUGUUGCAAAUUAGCUGCCCAGCUACCACGAGUGAGAGUGCUUCCGCUCAUAGUAUCUGGCCUUGUGUUGAUUAGCUAAUGCGCGGAGCUGGUCGGCUAGCUUGAGCAUUUCUUUUUGUUUAAUUGUUUUUUGUUUUCAUGUUAGCCAUUCUCCCCCGCUCUAACUCAAUCAGCUAACCCAGUCUUGCUUUAACUAUUCUUCGUGCUUUGCCUGCCAUUAAUUCGAGGGGCUUGUCUAUCUGCAUGCUGUUGGGUUUGCUUUCCGCCCCUUCUAGAUUGCUGUGCUUGACUAAGAGCGUUUGGAUUUGCUUUAACUAUUUGUGUGUUCUUCUACUUUGCUCUGCGAAGUUUGCAGUGUGAUUACAAUUGCAGUGUACCUUAAUGGAGUGUGUCAUUAACAGGUGUAUAUAUUCCCUUCUUUAAGGUCGCAGCAAACACAAGUAAGGUACAAGCCAGCUGGGUAGUCUGUUUGCAGUAAGGGGUGGAAAUGUUAAAUGUUGUGUAUGUUAUUUCUCAUUAAACCAUUUUAUCAAUUGGAGAAAAUAAAGGAAGCUAGCAUUUUGCUAUCUUCCCUACCAUAGUUUUUAAAACAAAAAAUGAAAUUAAUGUUAAUAAAAGGGAUCUGUUUUUUUUCUCUUUUACUCGAGACUCCUGUCGUUCAUACUUGCGUUGGUAACAACAUUAAUACAGUUGUAUAUAUUCUGGAGCAAUGCAGGCGAAGUACCUUAUUUAAGGGUGUAACGGCAAUGUCCCAUCUGGGAAUCAAACCUGCAACCUUUAGGUUGCGAGACCACCUCCUUACGACAGUAGAGAAACUUUUUAAAUGAAAUUGUAUCAGUGCAAACUUGCUGAACUCCCUGUUGGUUUAGGCUGGCUGUAUUUUUGAAUUAUUAAAACCUUUGAAUUGGUA